GAGAGGUAAGGAAGUUUGAGUGGGGCUUCUGUCCGGGGAUCAAACAACAACUGUACGUAUUUGAGCUCAGCACCUACUCAGCCGUUUUGGCCAAAACACAACUAGUAGAGUGGAGCCUUCAUGUCUUCCCUAUAGCACUGGGGAAUCCCAGACCCCCAGUCUCACACCACAGACCAACACCCACAGUACCGGUUUAGCAGAACAAGAGGCUUAAGCUAGUGACUCAAGCUCCUCCUCAAGCUCCAACAACAUGAUCAUGGGGACCGACCCUACUAUCAUCUCAAUAAUAUCUGCUGCAUAUGUGGGAGUGCCCAACACUACGCGAGAGAGUACUCGUAAAAUCAGAAUCAGGUAAGACCUCCUAUAUAGGGCAGAGCUUACAACCUCACCCAGCAGGAUACUGAAGCUAACUUAGACGUGAUAUAGGUUACGUACACUAUCUAUGAUCACCUUACACAUGUUUUGAUUGAUACUGGUGCUUCACAUUCAUUUGUUUCAUAUGCUUUUGCAUAAAACUUAAAUUUAUUACUUAAGAGACUUGAUUCUGUGUUGUUUGUGUCAACUCUUGGAAGUAGGACACUACAA
rnacentral:lncRNA from 1 species